rnacentral:tRNA from 1 species
CCCCGUGUAGCUCAGUUGGUAGAGCAUGGUGUUUGCAACACCAGGGUUGUGGGUUCGAUUCCCACGGGGG